rnacentral:lncRNA from 1 species
UUGUAGAUGAAUUGCAUGCCAUUAAUCAGUUGGCUUUUUGUUCUUACACGUUCCAUUGCUUAUCAUUCAAGGAAGAAAAUUGUCUUUUGACAGGGGUCCCAUUGCAGCCUUUUUACUGUCCAAUAACAUCAAGGCUGAGAUUUCAAAAGAUAAAUGAGAAUGAUAUAAGUGGGGGUGGGAGAGGACUUAGUUAAAAGGUCUGUUUAUCCAGGAAUUACUUUUGGAGAAAUUAGAAAUUUGCCUGUAUUGUUGGGGGAUAGUUGUAGAAGACUUUUAUAAUUUAAAACAUAGAAAUAAUUUAAGUAGAAUAAUUUUCUCAUUAAAAAUUCACCAAUUUAUGCAAGAGACUACACUUCAUUGUGGAAAGGGUAAGGCCAAAAUUCUAUCUCUUAGUAAGCAUCCCCUACUCUUUCCCCCUCCAAUAAACAAUGACCAUAUUGAUGAUGGGACGUUCUCUUAAGUAAUAGGCUAGGCAUUCUAUUCCCAGUGGUUACACUUCACUCCCUCACAGGUGGGAAGCAAGCCUUUCUAAUCAUUGUAUUUCCACAGCCCUAUCUCAAGUAUCUAGAACUUAUCAGAUGCUCAAUAAAUGUUACUUCAACUAAACCGAUCUAUUUUUGAUUUGACCAGGGUGACUCUGCAAAUAAGAAGUUAUUACUCGAGAAAUAAAACAAUAUGAGCCUUCUGGAGAGAGAAUCAGCACUGUGAAGGAAAUACUGACAUUCCCAAUCGUACAGAAGGUGCAAUUAGCAGUCUGAACGCAAGUGAAUGAAUGGCUGUCAUCCACUGAUAAAAAAUAUCAAGACCUCUGCUCAGAGACCACACUUGGACUGGCAACAGUGCUACAACUGCCUGGCUGAAGCAUAGACAGAGCUGGGCUAUACCGGAACAAAUUCACAAAUAAUAGAGAAAAGUCAUCUGAAUAUCACUUAGACCAUUUUUAACAUGGAAUUUUUCAAAGAUGGAAUCAUAAACUCCAGAAGAUGCACAAAGCAAAUAAAGGUCAUGUGAGCACACAGCAAGAAGAUGACCAUCUGCAUCCCAAGGGAAGAGCUCUCACCAGACACCAGCCCUGCUGGUACCUUGAUCUUGGAUUUUCAGUCUCCAGAACUGUGAGAAAAUAGAUUUAUAUUGUUUGAGCUGCCCGGACUACAGUAUUUUGUUAUGGCAACCCAAAUAGAUUAAGGUCAUACAGUAUAUCUGGUUGGCUGAAAUAGAUGAUGUCAAAUGAUUAUAUAAGUUCUACUAAUUUAUCUUUCUACCAGUAGUUUAUCAGAAUUUUCAGCUGGUCUGCAUCCUUGUCAACACUUAGUAUUUUCUUUCUCUAUAAUUUUAGCCCUUCUGGUGGGCAGGUAGUCAUAUAUUAUUAUGGUUUUCUUUUGCAUUUCAACAAUAACUAAUGAAAAGGAACACUUUUUUUUUACUUUUAUUGAGUAUGAGAAUAGUUC